rnacentral:lncRNA from 1 species
GAAAUAAUAAAGUACAACUUUCGUUUCAUCAUGAAAAUAAAUAAAUAAAAUUAAAUGUAAUACAAAGGUUAUGAUAUAUGGUGUUGUUAACUUGUACUGUAUGAUACUCGGUAGAAACUGGAAACCAAGUGCGUUACGCGUGAAGGUGAGUGCGUAUGGAGUAAGAGAAGUCAUGCACACACGCGCCUCUUUAUCAGACUUAUGAGUCGACUAAUAACCUAACAACACGCCCAAAAGUUCUUUCUUUAAACAAUGAGAUGUUGAAAACAAACCUCUGACCAAUCUCAGCCACACAAGACAUAUUAUUUCUUGACGUUAAUGAAUCUCAUGUUAGGUUAUUAUUUCUUUUUUAACUUAUCUCAUAUUUUUUUAACGUCUCGUUAAUUAUGCUAUUACAACGAUGAAAAAUAUUAAAUAAACGAUUCUAGAACUGACAAUUUUAUCAUCAUAUGAG